UUUGGUGGUUCUAGCGAAGUGGUCACACCCGAUCCCAUUCCGAACUCGGUCGUUAAGCACUUCCGCGCCGAUGGUAGCUCUUCGCGAGCAAGAGUAGGUCGCCGCCAGAA
rnacentral:rRNA from 1 species